rnacentral:rRNA from 1 species
AACGAACGCUGGCGGCAGGCUUAACACAUGCAAGUCGAACGCCCCGCAAGGGGAGUGGCAGACGGGUGAGUAACGCGUGGGAAUCUACCUAGUUCUACGGAACAACAGAGGGAAACUUCUGCUAAUACCGUAUACGCCCUAUGGGGGAAAGAUUUAUCGGAAUUAGAUGAGCCCGCGUAAGAUUAGCUAGUUGGUGAGGUAAUGGCUCACCAAGGCGACGAUCUUUAGCUGGUCUGAGAGGAUGAUCAGCCACACUGGGACUGAGACACGGCCCAGACUCCUACGGGAGGCAGCAGUGGGGAAUAUUGGACAAUGGGCGCAAGCCUGAUCCAGCCAUGCCGCGUGAGUGAUGAAGGCCUUAGGGUUGUAAAGCUCUUUCAGUAGGGAAGAUAAUGACGGUACCUACAGAAGAAGCCCCGGCUAACUUCGUGCCAGCCGCCGCAGUAACAC